rnacentral:rRNA from 1 species
CCUACGGGUGGCUGCAGUGGGGAAUAUUGGACAAUGGGCGAAAGCCUGAUCCUGCCAUGCCGCGUGUGUGAAGAAGGCCUUCGGGUUGUAAAGCACUUUCAGUGGGGAAGAAAGCCUUGGGGCUAAUACCCUCGAGGAAGGACAUCACCCACAGAAGAAGCACCGGCUAACUCCGUGCCAGCAGCCGCGGUAAUACGGAGGGUGCGAGCGUUAAUCGGAAUUACUGGGCGUAAAGCGCGCGUAGGCGGUCUGAUAAGCCGGUUGUGAAAGCCCCGGGCUCAACCUGGGAACGGCAUCCGGAACUGUCAGGCUAGAGUGCAGGAGAGGAAGGUAGAAUUCCCGGUGUAGCGGUGAAAUGCGUAGAGAUCGGGAGGAAUACCAGUGGCGAAGGCGGCCUUCUGGACUGACACUGACGCUGAGGUGCGAAAGCGUGGGUAGCAAACAGGAUUAGAUACCCGGGUAGUC